rnacentral:rRNA from 1 species
AAAAGAUGGUUCUGCUAUCACUCUUGGAUGGACCUGCGGUGCAUUAGCUAGUUGGUAAGGUAACGGCUUACCAAGGCAAUGAUGCAUAGCCGAGUUGAGAGACUGAUCGGCCACAUUGGGACUGAGACACGGCCCAAACUCCUACGGGAGGCAGCAGUAGGGAAUCUUCCACAAUGGACGCAAGUCUGAUGGAGCAACGCCGCGUGAGUGAAGAAGGGUUUCGGCUCGUAAAGCUCUGUUGGUAGUGAAGAAAGAUAGAGGUAGUAACUGGCCUUUAUUUGACGGUAAUUACCUAGAAAGUCACGGCUAACUACGUGCCAGCAGCCGCGGUAAUACGUAGGUGGCAAGCGUUGUCCGGAUUUAUUGGGCGUAAAGCGAGUGCAGGCGGUUCAAUAAGUCUGAUGUGAAAGCCUUCGGCUCAACCGGAGAAUUGCAUCAGAAACUGUUGAACUUGAGUGCAGAAGAGGAGAGUGGAACUCCAUGUGUAGCGGUGGAAUGCGUAGAUAUAUGGAAGAACACCAGUGGCGAAGGCGGCUCUCUGGUCUGCAACUGACGCUGAGGCUCGAAAGCAUGGGUAGCGAACAGGAUUAGAUACCCUGGUAGUCCAUGCC